UGGAAAGUAAAAGUCGUAACAAGGUUUCCGUAGGUGAAACCUGCGGAAGGAUCAUUUA
rnacentral:rRNA from 1 species